rnacentral:rRNA from 1 species
AGUGAACGCUGGCGGUAGGCCUAACACAUGCAAGUCGAACGGCAGCACAGUAAGAGCUUGCUCUUACGGGUGGCGAGUGGCGGACGGGUGAGGAAUACAUCGGAAUCUACUUUUUCGUGGGGGAUAACGUAGGGAAACUUACGCUAAUACCGCAUACGACCUACGGGUGAAAGCAGGGGAUCUUCGGACCUUGCGCGAUUGGAUGCGCCGAUGUCGGAUUAGCUAGUUGGCGGGGUAAAGGCCCACCAAGGCGACGAUCCGUAGCUGGUCUGAGAGGAGGAUCAGCCACACUGGAACUGAGACACGGUCCAGACUCCUAAGGGAGGCAGCAGUGGGGAAUAUUGGACAAUGGGCGCAAGCCUGAUCCAGCCAUACCGCGUGGGUGAAGAAGGCCUUCGGGUUGUAAAGCCCUUUUGUUGGGAAAGAAAAGCAGCAGGUUAAUACCCCGCUGUUCUGACGGUACCCAAAGAAUAAGCACCGGCUAACUUCGUG